UACGGAGGGGGCAAGCGUUGUUCGGAAUUACUGGGCGUAAAGCGUGCGCAGGCGGCUUUGCAAGACAGAUGUGAAAUCCCCGGGCUUAACCUGGGAACUGCAUUUGUGACUGCAAGGCUGGAGUGCGGCAGAGGGGGAUGGAAUUCCGCGUGUAGCAGUGAAAUGCGUAGAUAUGCGGAGGAACACCGAUGGCGAAGGCAAUCCCCUGGGCCUGCACUGACGCUCAUGCACGAAAGCGUGGGGAGCAAACAGG
rnacentral:rRNA from 1 species